CUGGUUACCAGGCUGACCAGGGAUUGCUGCUCUUGUCUGCUCGUUUACUCCGGCCUUACCUGGCAUGCCAAGUGCCAGCAGUGAUUCACUCAAUUUGCAUUCUAGAAGGCAGAAGGAGUCUGAAGUGGUUAACAAUGUGCUGGGCAGAGCCGUCAAUUUCAACAAAGGUGGAGAUUUGCACUUGUAAAGGAGGACUGAUGCUGUCAGAUGAUAGAGAUAGAAGAAAGGGUAUGAACAAACAGAUGGCAAUGACAAGAGCUGCAAUCACAUAAUCACAGGGUAUCUGUCAGCUGGCUUUUGAAAAUCUCCAAGAGAGAGCACAGAUUCUCCUGGCAACCUGUUCCACCUGUUCAGCUCUCCAGCUGUUGUGCUUCUAUCCAGUUUGUUGUAUCCUUUUGUUUCAGUGUGUGCCUGUUGCCCACAUUCUCCCACCACACACCACUGUGAAGAGCCUGGUUCCUGUUAGCACAAUAUUUCAGCAUGGCUAAGUCCCUCUAAAAGAUGCUCCUGCCCUUCAGCAUACUGACUGAUACCCCCAAUUUGCUGCCAUCUGCAAGAUGGAUUAAGGUGUAGACUUUCACUUCCUCCAUGCCUCUGACAUUAAAAAGGACAGGUCU